rnacentral:tRNA from 1 species
UUCCUGGUGGCUCAGAUGGUAAAGCGUCUGCCUGCAAUGCAGGAGACCCAGGUUCGAUCCCUGGGUUGGGAA